CAUUAAUCCUCACAAUCAACCUGGGUCAGUGAUUAGAAAAAAAUUCAAUGACCUAGGUUUGUUGUGAGGGUGAAAUGA
rnacentral:pre_miRNA from 1 species